rnacentral:rRNA from 1 species
UACGGGGGGGGCAAGCGUUGUUCGGAAUUACUGGGCGUAAAGGGCUCGUAGGCGGCCAACUAAGUCAUACGUGAAAUCCCUCGGCUUAACCGGGGAACUGCGUCUGAUACUGGAUGGCUUGAGUUCGGGAGAGGGAUGCGGAAUUCCCAGUGUAGAGGUGAAAUUCGUAGAUAUUCGCAAGAACACCAGUGGCGAAGGCGGCUCACUGGCCCGGUACUGACGCUGAGGCACGAAAGCGUGGGGAGCAAACAGG